GACAGAGGGUGCAAACGUUGCUCGGAAUCACUGGGCGUAAAGAGCGCGUAGGCGGCCUCUGCAAGUCGACUGUGAAAUCUCCGGGCUUAACCCGGAAAGGUCAGCCGAUACUGCAGGGCUAGAGUGCAGAAGGGGCAACUGGAAUUCUCGGUGUAGCGGUGAAAUGCGUAGAUAUCGAGAGGAACACCUGCGGCGAAGGCGGGUUGCUGGGCUGACACUGACGCUGAGGCGCGAAAGCUAGGGGAGCGAACGGG
rnacentral:rRNA from 1 species